rnacentral:rRNA from 1 species
UACGUAGGGUGCAAGCGUUGUCCGGAAUUAUUGGGCGUAAAGAGCUCGUAGGCGGUUUGUCGCGUCUGCUGUGAAAACCCGAGGCUCAACCUCGGGCCUGCAGUGGGUACGGGCAGACUAGAGUGCGGUAGGGGAGAUUGGAAUUCCUGGUGUAGCGGUGGAAUGCGCAGAUAUCAGGAGGAACACCAAUGGCGAAGGCAGAUCUCUGGGAAUGUUCUGACGCUGAGGAGCGAAAGUGUGGGGAGCGAACAGG